GGGAUGUAAGAAAGAAACAGAGCUACACGAAUAGAUGUGUUUCUUUUAAACACAUUAGUAAUUUAUUGCUACAAAAUAGAGAUGAAAACUCAUACUCCCUCUUCGAAAGAAAUUUUUUUGGUUUUUUCUUGUUUUACAGAAAAUGAUCUAAUUAGUAGUUGUCGGAAAAUGUCUAAUGUGAGAAAGUAAUUUAUAGUAUAACCAAACGUUAUGUGAAAUGUAUAGAAAAUAAUUCUUUAUCAAAUAGAGAGAGAUUUUCAUAGUCUAACUUCUCUCUCUUUUUUCAGAGAAAAGUAUCAUAUUACUUGGGAUGCUUUUUCCCCAACAAUUAGGAAUAUACAGAGCCGUACUCACCUUAUCAAUUUUGGGACACUGUCCCUAGGCUUCCUCUCACAUUAAUAUAUUUUUGGGCCUCCAUAUUCAUAAAUCAUAUAAUCAAUAUAUAAUAAUAUGAUAAAAACUAUAAUUAUCUCUUAAUACUUUUCAAUAAUAUAUAAUCAUUUCUGCUUAGUUGUUGUGAAUAUUAAUUUCAUUGUAUAUUUUUUUAUUUUGAAUGUCGAAAAUAUUUUCCUACAUAUAAUUUGAGUUUGUAUAUACAAUUUUCAGUUGUAACCAAAAUAUAACUUUUGCCAUUAAUUUUCAUAAGAUUAAUUUUUCUUAAAAAUAAUUUUAAAAUAUAAGAUAAGAAAACAAUUUAUUUUCUGGUUCGUAUUAAAAAAAUUAAUAUGUAUAUUUGAUAUAAAAUAAAUUAUUUUUGCCCUAGACCCCUAAUAGCCUUCGCACGGCACUGGAAAUAUAUCAAAUAUUGUAACAUGUCUUUACAUAUUUAUGAACUUGAAUAAUCAUUUUCCUUUUAUCAGAGGACGUGAUUACUUUAUCAUGUAAUAUUUGAUCGUUUUGUGUGUCGAAUGGUCUAUUCAUCACAUAAUAGCUUGAUAAUUUAGACACUAAAACAGUUUAGAUCAAUGUUGUAAAUAUUUUGGAAAAGGGUAAAAUAGCUCUAACAAUCCGUCAUGCAUUCUUCGGAUCCAGGACUUUAUCCUUUAAUAAUAUUUUUACAAGACAAGUUAUCACCGAUUGAACUACAGAUUAUUAGUAAUAACUUGUCAUACGGAAGAGUUGUUAAAGGGAGAUGUUUUAGGUUCAAAAAAUGCCAAACGCACCAAUAACCUAUCUGAGAAGUCAGUGAGAGUUCACAGAUAAAAGAUUAGGAUCGAUACUCUACAGAGCCAGCCUGGAUCCGCGAGACGAAUUGUCACAAUAGUGUUGUACAGAAGUACUUGUAUCAAACUUUGACAAAAAUAAAUUUUAUUAUUUUAGUUUACAAUGUAUAAAAUACGCAAUUCUUCUGACUGAAAUAAAUCUGAUAUAAGAAAAAACGAAAAAAGAGAGAGAGAGAGAGAGAGCGAGAGAAAAACGCCGGAGCGAUUUCAAUCCCUAGCUCUGGCUGGCCGGUUUGGCUGUGUCGGAGGCGAUUCUCCUUCCCCUUCUUCAUUUGUUCUUUGCUUUCCUUUCCCCAGUUCAAGACCGAGACGAUAUGCAUGCUAUUCUGACGUGAUCGUUUCCUACGGAGCUCGUGUUGUGGUCGGAGACGGUACUCUUCGUUUGGAGUGGAGGCGAGUCUAGGGCUAGGCUGAGAAAAGGAGGAUCGGCUUUUAGGAUUGAAGGAUAUGUCAGAUCUAAUUUUCCCUUUUCAGAUCUAGGGUUUAUCCUUCCCAACGAUGGCACGUGAAUCGAGAUUGGCGACUCUUUUAGCUUGAAAUCACCUCCUUACAUGAUGGUGAGAAUGGUGGAGGAGAGGUGUGAUAAACAGACGUAGGAGGCUUGGACAUGAUGAUGUAUCCUGAAGCUUUCAACAGGGUCCCGCUUGCGUUUUUCCAUUGCCAAGAUCCGUCUUUCAGUCUGGAUUACUGUCCGGCUUUGGCCAUGGUGCAAGACGGCGAACGACAGUGGCAUGAAUCGAAGUUGGUCUGCGCCUUUAGUAUUUUCAUGGCUUCUGCAUUACAUGGUCUUUUAGGAGUAGUUUUUCAGUCGGAUUCUAUGUUCGUUUGGGGCUAGAGACAGUAACAAUUGAACGCCAGCGGAUACAAGCUUCUCUCAGAAAUGCGCCUUCGGGUGAAGAUGCUAUUGACCACAUACAGAAUGACGAUCCUAUGAGGUCAUAGCUUGGUAUUGAACUGUUUUUUUGAUUUAAACUUGUGUUUGAUGUGGUAGUAGUUGUUUCUUUGUCUUGUGGUUGAAUGCAGGGGUCUAAGAGGUGAGUUUCAUUUCGAGUCGUGGAGUGAGCUCAUUCUCGUUGUGGUUGAAAAUGCAAUGGUGUUUCAGUCGGGUAGUUUGAAUCCAAAUAAGUGAUUUAGGGUGUUACAAGAUUACAUCAUUGCAUGGUCAAAUUAUGUAGAGGUUAAAUUGUUUGUACUUGAAUGAAAUUUGAUGUUGAGUUAAAAAAAAAAAUCUGAUAUUAAUAUGUUGUUAUUUAAAAAAACUAUGCUUGGAGUAUUCUGAUGCCAAGGGAGGCCAAUCCAGCAAGAAACCAUGUGUUCAAUGACGUAUAUAAAACAUAA